rnacentral:rRNA from 1 species
UACGGAGGGUGCGAGCGUUGUUCGGAAUCACUGGGCGUAAAGCGUGCGCAGGCGGUUCGUGAUGUCUGGUGUGAAAGCCCCGGGCUUAACCUGGGAAUUGCAUUGGAAACUAGCGGGCUGGAGUGUGGCAGAGGGGGGUGGAAUUCCACGUGUAGCAGUGAAAUGCGUAGAGAUGUGGAGGAACACCGAUGGCGAAGGCAGCCCCCUGGGCUAACACUGACGCUCAUGCACGAAAGCGUGGGGAGCAAACAGG